UACGUAGGGGGCUAGCGUUGUCCGGAAUCAUUGGGCGUAAAGAGCGCGUAGGCGGCCAGAUAAGUCCGGUGUGAAAGUCAAAGGCUCAACCUUUGAAUGCCGCUGGAAACUGUCUGGCUAGAGUCCGGGAGGGGCGAGUGGAAUUCCUGGUGUAGCGGUGAAAUGCGCAGAUAUCAGGAGGAACACCAAUGGCGAAGGCAGCUCGCUGGAACGGUACUGACGCUGAGGCGCGAAAGCCGUGGGGGAGCGAACAGG
rnacentral:rRNA from 1 species